GCCAAUAUGGUGUAGUAGUUUGAAUGUUGGACUAUGACUCAGGAGACCAGGGUUCGAAUCCCUGCUCUGCCA